CCCCCGGUUCCUCGUCCCGCUGUCCCGUCCCGGAGCCGCGGCCCGGGAGCGGCCCCGGCCGGGUGACACCGCCGGCUCUUACGGCACUGCCGCAAAGCGCGGCCGCCGCGCCUCACGGCAGCCGGGUCACCAUGGCAACCGCCGGACCGCCCUCAGCGCGCUCAGGGAGCGGGGAAUUACUCACUCGAUUUGUUAAAUAACGAUUGCUGAAGGGCCUUGAAGUUAUAACAGCCGGGAGCAGAGUCUGUCGUUCUGAGCAGGGAAAGCGCCGUUAUGAGGCACCCCGAGGUGACAUUUACGUGUUAUUAGCAGGAUGUCGAACGCCACCGUGUCCCCGAGGUCCCCCUUUCUCCUGCUGGGAUAGAGAGGAUCCCCAGGCGUCUGCAGGCACGAGGGACUCGUCCAACUGGGAUUUGCCUCCAGCCCAUGGUGGUGGAAUUGCCUCUCUGUCCAUGUGCUGCGGCUGCAGGGACUGUCAGGCCUUGUUGGCUCUGUUGCCUGGUGUCAUUUCCCUGCCUGAGCUGGCUGUGGGUCGGUGUGGGACGGCGAGGCCGGAGA